AACUGAUGACCGUCCAGCACACCGUCCAACACGUCUCCAAUGCAUCCCGCUUUUCCAUCGUUUGUUUCAAUAACGUUUUGCUAAGGACAGCAUCUUGGGAUGGUAAGAAACAAACCGUCAGUGUAACAGACAGCAAUAAAUUGCCUGCUCAGCGGAAAUUUCCCUCUCCUGCUGUCUGUAUGCAGGUUGGCCUCUUCUGCUAGCUGUGCUGCUGAGUGCUGGGCUACGUUCUUCUUUGUUUUCACUUUGAAGUGGAAUAGAAACCGAAAGACUUCAUUUUGCAGGCAAAAACUUUGCGGAGUGCUAUGUGAUAUUUGCUGGGGGGUGAUGAAGGAAGAUGCCUGGAUUUGGAGAGUCUGACAGCUGGAGCUUCCAUCCCGGCUGAGGGCUCCAACAAAGACCCGGCGUGUGCUGCCAGGAGAUUCGGAGAGGGUUUGAAAGGAGUCCUGCCUGCUGACCUGGUUAACAAGGAGCGCUUUUCCCUGCGCCAGAGUGCCAGCUCUCUGCAAGGUGGUACUGCACUACGAAUAACCUGGUAGCUCCCAGCAGGGAUGUGAGAGGCAUCGGACCUCACAGAGGGCAGGGCUGAAGCCCCACUCCCUUAAAAUUGUUUUCUUCUCUCUUCCAAAAUACUUUCUGCAUGCUCCAACCAACUCUGCGUUUGAAAGAGAAACUGAACGUAGGUGCUGUGCUGCCCCAGCACAGGAUGUGUGCAAUGCUUCUGGAGCUGCACCAACACCACAGUAAGAAGGGAGCAGGUAAUGGGCAGCCAGAAAGGCUGGGGCACAGAUCACUGUGUGCUACCCAGUGCAGUAAUGUUAAGUGUCUUCCAGCAUUAAACAGAGCCACUUUAACUCCAGUGCUUGAGCUACCAAUGUAUGUGAACUAAGUGCUUAAUUACCAACACUGUUCCCCAGGCAUAGGAAUACUUUCGGUCCAGGUUAAGACAUAGCACAAUGCAACACCCAUGAAAUCACUGUCAAUUCAGCUUUUUUUUUAUUAAAGAUUAAAAAUUAAAAAAAAAAAACAACACUUGAUCUGAUACCCUCCUAAUAUACAUAAAGUCACCAUGAACUCAAGUGUGCUAAAAGCAAAACGUGAAUCGAGAUGCUCACUUCUGCAGGCACCCCACCAUCAGUCCCGGCUGUGUGUGCAGUGCUCCAGCAGCUCCUGCUGCUCCUCCUUCCCUGAAGGCAAGGGCUGGGCUGCUGCCAGGCACAGCUGCUCCGUCAGCCCCGAGCAGGGCUCCUGCUGUCACCAGAACACAACCGCUGUGCGCAGACUGAGCUUCUCCUGGAGUCACCCAGCAGGAUCUAAACCGCACGAGGGCUUCUUCUUAAGAGAGCAAGGUAGUGAGUGUUAUCUGGGCCGCUUACAGGGGCCGAGAGGAUGAGGCAGGGUUAAGAGACCACAGCUGCGCAUCCAAAGAGCUUUGCUACUAAAAAACCUCCCUCCUCCCCAUCCCGUCCCCCCACUCUCAUACAAACAAC